rnacentral:lncRNA from 1 species
CAUGAUAUGUGUCUCUGAUGUUUCUUCUUCCGUUUACCUCGACGCAUGGUACUUUUCUUUCUUUACAUGUAUUAACAUGUUUUGAUGAUACUGACAAUUAUUGUGUUCAAUGCUGAAGGAUUUGCGAUUGACUCAAACGGAUGAUAUUAUUCCAGCGAAUUGUUCUACAUAGUUACUUAUCAAUGGAAAGGAACAUUCCAAAAGAAGGAUGAUACACUGUUGACUGAUGUGGUAUGCUUCUUCCUUUUUAGUUUUCAGGGGAGGCAUGUUAUGCUUCUUUGAAAGUUCUCUGAUAUGAGGUCUGUUUCUUUUAUAAGGAUAACUUCAACAUAAGUAAUAACGGCAUUACAAAAGAACAUCAAACCUGAGGUUCAUUUGAUGAAUGAUUGCGACUCAUUGCUGAUGAACUUGACAUGCAUGAACACCAAACCUGUGGUUCAUUUGAUGAAUGAUUGCGAUUCAUUGCUGAUGAACUUGACAUGCAUGAACACCAAACCUGUGGUUCAUUUGAUGAAUGAUUGCGACUCAUUGCUGAUGAACUUGACAUGCUUGAUGUUAAGUGCAGACACUAUUUUAGGUGAACUAGUACUUGUGGAAAAUUAUAAUGAUGCACACUAGCCAAUUUCAUUUAACCAGUACUUUGUGGACUUUUGUGAUCCUAGGAACUCACAAAACUAUAUUCUUCUUGGAACUGAGAACUGUAAACAUUCUUGCAGUUGAACCAUCUGAUUUGAUUGGAAAUAAUGGAGUAAAAUAAAUUACCACUCAACCCAACUUGAGGCAGGAUCCGGAGCUCAUGGUAAGAUGACUAAAUCAAUAGGAGGUUAAGCAUUCGAUGGUUAUGGUGGCAGCAGUUGAUUGGUGGCUAUGAUGAAUGAAUUAAAGAGGAAAUUAUGUUGAAUAAGCCAUGUGCUAAUGCACAUGUCCUUUUGUCUUUGAUUCUUAUGCAAG